GGAAUAUAAGAAUCCGUCUCUUAGUUUUUAACUAAAAAAGCUAGAACCGGUUCUUAAAUAAGAUAUUUAAGAACCGGUUCUAGAUUUUUAGUUAAAAGUUAAGAGACAGAUUCUUAUAUUCC
rfam:Brassica oleracea var. oleracea cultivar TO1000 chromosome C4, whole genome shotgun sequence